UGGCAGCGCGUCCACGGCCAGACCUAACGGUCCGCGCGCUACUCCCCGGGCCGGAAGUGGAGAGGAACUGUCUCGGGUGCGCCCGGCCUGGCUCACCGCCUGGCAGUCACCGCUGUCGCCGCCGCCUUCGGCCAGUGCCGAGGGUUUUUGCAGCCGCCAUGUCCGCCAGUGCCGUCUACGUGCUGGACCUGAAGGGCAAGGUGCUCAUCUGCCGGAACUACCGCGGUGAUGUGGACAUGUCGGAGGUGGAGCACUUCAUGCCCAUCCUGAUGGAGAAGGAGGAGGAAGGGAUGCUGUCACCCAUCCUGGCCCACGGGGGCGUCCGCUUUAUGUGGAUCAAGCAUAACAACCUGUAUCUGGUCGCCACCUCCAAGAAGAACGCGUGUGUGUCAUUGGUGUUCUCCUUCCUCUAUAAGGUGGUGCAGGUGUUUUCGGAAUAUUUCAAGGAGCUGGAGGAGGAGAGCAUCCGCGACAACUUCGUCAUCAUCUACGAGCUGCUGGAUGAGCUCAUGGACUUCGGCUACCCCCAGACCACAGACAGCAAGAUCCUGCAGGAGUACAUCACUCAGGAAGGCCACAAGCUGGAAACAGGGGCCCCAAGGCCCCCAGCCACCGUCACCAACGCAGUGUCCUGGCGCUCCGAGGGCAUCAAAUACCGGAAGAAUGAGGUGUUCUUGGACGUCAUCGAGUCUGUCAACCUCCUGGGCAAAUACCCAGGAGUGGGAUUGCUGGGUCAUAUGGUCAGUGCCAACGGUAAUGUCCUGCGCAGUGAGAUUGUGGGCUCCAUCAAGAUGCGGGUCUUCCUGUCGGGUAUGCCGGAACUGCGCCUGGGCCUCAAUGACAAGGUCCUCUUCGACAACACAGGCCGCGGCAAAAGCAAGUCCGUGGAGCUGGAGGAUGUGAAGUUCCACCAGUGCGUACGGCUCUCACGCUUUGAGAAUGACCGCACCAUCUCCUUCAUCCCACCCGAUGGCGAAUUCGAGCUCAUGUCUUACCGCCUCAACACCCACGUCAAGCCCUUGAUCUGGAUUGAGUCUGUGAUUGAAAAGCAUUCCCACAGCCGCAUUGAAUACAUGAUCAAGGCAAAGAGCCAAUUCAAGCGACGGUCAACAGCCAACAACGUGGAAAUCCACAUACCCGUGCCCAACGAUGCCGACUCACCCAAGUUCAAGACAACAGUGGGAAGCGUCAAGUGGGUCCCCGAGAACAGUGAGAUCGUGUGGUCCAUCAAGUCCUUCCCGGGCGGCAAGGAAUACCUGAUGCGAGCCCACUUCGGCCUGCCCAGCGUGGAGGCAGAGGACAAGGAGGGCAAGCCCCCAAUCAGCGUCAAGUUCGAGAUCCCCUACUUCACUACCUCUGGCAUCCAGGUACAUGCAACCAGGGCUGCUGGGGCCCCAGAGCAGCCAUGGGCCGGCCCAGUGGGGCCUCAAAGGGACCAGGGGUCAGUCCAGGCUCAGAGGGUUGCAAGCGACAGACAUCAGCACAGCGAGUUUGAAAAGGGUACCAGGACUUCCCAUCGUGUCUCAGUGGAAACAAAUCUUACUAGCACCCAUGAGGACACAGGUUCGAUCUCUGGCCUCAUUCAGUGGGUUAAGGAUCCAGCAUUGCCAUGAGGUGUGAUGUAAGUUGCAGAUAUGGCUCAGAUCCCGUGUUCCUGUGGCUGUGCUGUAGGCCAGCAGCUACAGCUCUGAUUGAGCCCCUAGCCUGGGAACCUCCAUUUGCCGUGGGAACAGCCAUAAAAAGAUAAAUUAAAAAAAAAAAAAGUAAAGAAGGGUGCUAGUUGGCUUGAUCCAGGGCAGCACAGUGGUCCCUGGCUCUGCCUGUCCCCACAGGCGACCCGGCCCUGAUGGAAAGAGGCCCAUAGUUGUCUGCUCAGACCUGACCUUGCUUCAAGCUGAGAGACCCACUCAGCCCCCAGAACUAGAGUUAGAGCCUCUAGCGUCCACACACUUGCCACCCUGGGGCCUGUAUUCCUGGACACCUCCACACAAAACCUGUGUGGGCUGGCCUCCUUCUCCAGGAAUCUGCUAGACUGCGAGUGCACAUCUGACUCUUUGCCGUCGUCUUCUAGAAGCACCUCUUCCUUCUUUGGCCUCUGUGUGGUGCAAACAUAUCAAGGCCCUUCGCCCCCUCCCCAGCCCUCCAGGUCACAGCCUGGCCCUGGGAGGAAUGAUUAGUGGGGGGACUAGGAAGGUGGGGGCCAAGUGCUUGCUUAGGGCCCUGGUACCUGUGCCCCAGGUGCGCUACCUGAAGAUCAUCGAGAAGAGCGGCUACCAGGCCCUGCCAUGGGUCCGUUACAUCACUCAGAACGGAGAUUACCAGCUCCGGACCCAGUGAGGCGCUGCGGUGGCCAACACUCCUGCCCCGACAAUGGGGCUCCUGGUGGAAGGGCCAGCCAAGCCUGCAGGAGGGAGGGACUCCCCUGGACACCAGCCACCCUCCCGGCUCCACCCAGGGGCCCCUCCUCCUCCAGGUGCACCCGCUCUGCCGCUGCCACUCUCGUCUCCCCAGUCCCUUCUCCCAGAAGAGGCUCAUCUUCAAGAAGUCUCAUCUCUGCCCCCAAGUCAGUUUGAGGGGAAGGAAUGAACUCUUUCCCUCCAGAGGUCAAAUACAGCCUUCUGUGCUGUUUAGCUCCCAGUCACCAAAAGACUGGGAAAUGCUGGCCAUACCACUGGCUGCACGCAGCAUCUGGCCGGACCGGCAGGACCACUGUUUUGUUGCCAUUCUGUUGAAUGUGUCAGUUUGAGUGUUCCUGGAUUUUUGUCUUGGUCAAUCGCUGUUGAUGUGAACCUCUCUGUCCACGCCUCCCGCCCCUCGUCCCAAAGCGCUCAGGCAGCACUUAGGGAGGACAGGACUGCCCCCUUCCUGCCCCCCCUCCCCAGCGAGGCUGCCGCUGGGCCACCCUCCCACUUGCAUUGGAGGCUCCUGGUCUGGACCCACAGGUUUCACCACAGGCACCUUCCCAGGACCAACCUUUGCCACACAAUACUGUCACUCAGCUACAUCAGUAUUUAUCCCACCAGGGGAGGUGGGGUCUAGCAAGGGCCCCCAGCCUCAGAGGGUGGAGGGCAUGGGUCAUCCACAUCCAUGCUUGGACACUGCCCCCUUCAACCCUGACUGUGUCUGUGUCACAAUUACAUUAAAGUCCAUCCAUUAAACACCCUGCCUGCCUUCCGUCCAA